CCAACUGAGCCACCUGCCUGGGACAAUGCACCCUAGACAAUGCACUUCUAUUUUAUUCUCCCAGAGCUGAGCCUGCAGCCUCCUGCUGUUGGUCACAGUCAUGGCCACACACAACCCGCAGUUCAGAGUGUCCUUUCCUCUCCCGGGUCUUUCUCCCACUUUUCUCCCUGUCUCCAUAUUUUCCUCUAGAUUUCCCUCGAGAUUGAUCAUUGGAGAAGCUGCCUCCUGGAAUCUGAAAAUCGCAGUCCUGGGUUAAGGUUGCCACCUAGUGGCCAGUGCGAGAACCACAUUGCAGUGCCUUGCGUCUUGACUUCUUCCAACUAGGUGUGUGCAAACCCGAAGGUGAACUUGCUUCUACCCAACUGAAACAUUGGAAUUGAUCAGACGAGAAUGUUCAUCAGUUACCUCUGGACAAUGUCACACUACUUGCGGGCCACGUAUCAGCCUGCAUCGGUACCCACAGCCUGCUGGAUCCUGGGACGGCUUAUACAGGGAUGGUGGACACCCCAGGCAGCUCUCUGCUGUCUGUCCUCUCUGGGCAUUUCCUCAGCUGAAGAGAAUCAUUGAGAGCCAGGCCCUGCCUCCUUUCCAGGCAGCCCAAAGCCCUGAUUGGCUGUGGGUUUAUAAAGGCCCCAUCUCUUCUCGAAGCUUUUCCCUCUGCCCAACAGCUGCGGCUCCUGAACCAGCAUGUACGUCUGAGCUGGAAGAGCAGCCUCUCGGGACGGAAGAGUCAGACCGGGGAUGAAGGUCACCCACGCCGCGCUGAGAUCUGGAGCACCGGAGCAGGGUCCCAGAGCGCUCUCCUGACGGGCUCGGCAGGAUGAGCUGCGGGAGUUUUCGCCUUCAGAACCCCCGGAGUACAGACCUAGCCACGGCGGAAGAUGAAGUGGAGAGCAGGUGCCAAGAGCGCACUCUCCUCAGGCCGGCUGGAUUUGAUGGGACAGUCCAGGACCUUGGGAGCAAAGAGCCCAGGAGAGGACAGUCACCCCAGUGGUUACCUUUGCAUUUGUAAAGGUAGGUAUGUUUUCUCAAAGCAUUUGCAACUUGCUCAUUUGUGAUAAUGACCUUGGCUUCCCUGAAAAUUUUUCAUGGGUUUUUCCUUUUCGGUUUUUUUUUUUUUUUUGUAUUAAAUGCUUCCUUGUGUGAACAAUGAAUGUCAAAUAUGUGUUAUCAUGGUGAACAUAGGCUCAAGCAUACCCUACAGCUAUGAAAGCUAGAGCUGUUUAUAAAGUACGAGAACCUGCCUCAUGUUGUGUUAACUAAUGUUAAUUAUGAAUAAUGAUUUAACUGUGUUACAAGUGAGUUAUGGUGUUUUAGUAUAAAUGAGUUAAUUCAGGGACCAAGGAAUCCAUGAAACAUUUUCCACUAGACUCCAUGAUAUUUAGAACUUAUUAUCCAGGAUCAUAAAAUCAUACAAAUACACACAAACACACAUAUACUUAGAUCUUUAUUUUAAAAAUGUGGGGUACACACACAAAUGCUCUCUCCCCUUUUCCUCUCCCCCUCCCUCUCUCCUCUUCAUCUGAUCUGGAGGCAUUUGCUCCUACACAUUCUUUUCCAUGGAUACCAUCCAGCCAUGGUACAUUUUUACUGCAGCUUAUUCAAUCAUUCUCUUUCUGAUGGUCACUCACAUUGUUUCCUUUUUUUGUCCUUAUCAAAAAAUACAAUAUACAUUGAUAAACAUAUAAUCUUAAGUACUGGCACUUUGUCGUCUUAGGGAUAGAGUCCCAGGAGUGAGACUCCGGGACUGAAGGGUAGGUGUAUUCUUAAUGUUAAGAGUCACACUUGACACAUUUCUAACAGCGGUGUAUGAAAUGAAUCUUCUCCCCUGCUUCCUUGUUGGUAGUAGACAAGAUGACAAUUUAGAAAGACAAGAGAUUUCCUGGACUAUAGCUGUUCUGGUAAAUCUGUUCAGAAAGUCUCUCACAAUCCUACAGAUUCGCACACAUCAGUGACAUUCAGGAACAAGGAAGACACAAGGCCAGUUAUAGUUGCCAGUGACAAAUCUGGUGUGUGAUUUAUGAUAGAUCAGGAGAGAAACUUGGGAAUUUGAAAUCAAUACUAAGAUGGAGUGCCUCUGAGUUAUGCGAAAAGCUUUUUAGGUUAAUUGUUAAACAUAUGGAGAGAUCACCGAAAAGUCUAACUUCUAAGGUGUUUGUGAACCUUUAAAGGCAAGGCUUAACUUCUACUCACCUUCCGAAGGGAGAUACUUUCGGUAGGUGACCAUGAAACUCAGGGAGCGGAAAUGCCUCCUUUAGACAGAAUGUGGCAAGAAUGCAUUUCUAAAGUGUGUUGUGCACAUGGACAUUUUAAAAAGCAGUAAGACACUUACUGACAGUUUCUUACAUUUUUUCUCUAAGUCUCUAAAAUGUAACAUCUGCGAACCACAUACACAUCCUACUUUUUUGUAAGACAAUUUGUAAAAUAUUAGGAGAAAUAGGGAAACGCACAAAGAAAAGUACACGUAGUUUCUGGGUUAUACACUAUGUUGAACGACAUGCAUCUGGAGUAAACACCUGCACGGCAGCUGCACACCAGCGAUGGCGCCACGUGGGCUGGGGCACGGGGUGCCGGCCCACCGAGCUCCUGCACUCUCCCAAUCCGCUCUUGAUGGUCGCUCACUGACAUACUGAUGGGAAGAAUGCUUUCCAGCAACCCCAGAAGCAAGUUAAAACUUCAACGUUGUCUUCUG